rnacentral:lncRNA from 1 species
UGGCCACCUCCUGGUGGUAAGUCUCGCUCCUGGAGUUCCCAUCUUGACCCUACAGCGGGACAUUUUGCCGCCACCUCUUUGUGUGUUGGGAAGAUGACGUCCUUUCUGCUCGUCCUGCUUCUCUGAUUGAUCUGUGUCUCUGGAGAUCCCUUUGCUCAGCCAUCAGAUCAAGCAGGCAUCCAUGGUUCAGAAUGCAGGUGAUGACCUGGGCAAGAGCUCACCAGUAAGGAGCAAAGGGGCCCGCCUGCCACUCUUAAGCAGAGCGCCUGCUGAAUCAGGAUUUCCAAGGCUCCGGCUGAGUGCCUGGCUGGGGGCUGUGUGUGCAGAUGCCACAAGAUGGACAAGACUGAGGACGCAGAUUUCCUACAACAGCAGACUUCUGAUGCCCAGGCCUCAGUUCUGAACUCUGGAGGCUACAACCUGGCCUGCUUAUAGACGGUGGACCAAAUGAAGGUGAAGAGGAGACGGAUGAGGAAACUGAAGCAACUGUUCAAGAAGAGGAUAUAAAAAGGGACAGGCAUUGAUGAUGAUAUCAGAGCUUCUUCCUGGGGAAUCUCAGCCUCACAUGAUGGAGUAUGACUAAAGGAAAAAAAUAAGGCUCUUCACAUACUUUCUUGGCAGUCUGUGAGGGUCAGGGUUGAUUUUGUGUCCCUAAAAUGUCACAUGAAGUUCAUAGGCACUUCCAAAGGGGCAGUCUAGCAAGUUAAAGAGUAGAUGUGGGGCUGUGUGGAGUCCAUUGUUUGGGUAAUCUUUUUCAAACAGUAGGAAUAUACCAGCUUGUAAAGAUUUGCCCACUUAGCUUCAAGUCUCUCUGAACACAUUUCCCCCCGCUCUAUGAAUAGAUGAAGACAUACAAAUGGAACUCUUGAUAUUCUUAAGUGAAAAACAUGAUAUGGAAUAGCAGAUAAAUACAAACAAU